rnacentral:rRNA from 1 species
UACGUAGGGUCCGAGCGUUGUCCGGAAUUACUGGGCGUAAAGAGCUCGUAGGUGGUUUGUCGCGUUGUUCGUGAAAACUCACAGCUCAACUGUGGGCGUGCGGCGAUACGGGCAGACUUGAGUACUGCAGGGGAGACUGGAAUUCCUGAUGUAGCGGUGGAAUGCGCAGAUAUCAGGAGGAACACCGGUGGCGAAGGCGGGUCUCUGGCCGAUACUGACACUCAGGUGCGACAGCGUGGGGAGCAAACAG